rnacentral:rRNA from 1 species
UACGGAGGUGGCAAGCGUUGCUCGGAAUCACUGGGCGUAAAGCGCACGUAGGCGGAUCGAUCAGUCAGGGGUGAAAUCCCAGGGCUCAACCCUGGAACUGCCUUUGAUACUGUCGAUCUGGAGUAUGGAAGAGGUGAGUGGAAUUCCGAGUGUAGAGGUGAAAUUCGUAGAUAUUCGGAGGAACACCAGUGGCGAAGGCGGCUCACUGGUCCAUUACUGACGCUGAGGUGCGAAAGCGUGGGGAGCAAACAGG